UACGGAGGAGGCAAGCGUUAUCCGGAAUUAUUGGGCGUAAAGCGUCCGUAGGUGGUUUAGUAAGUCUGCUGUUAAAGCGCGGGGCUUAACCUCAUCAAGGCAGUGGAAACUACAUAGCUAGAGUACGGUCGGGGUAGAAGGAAUUCCUGGUGUAGCGGUGAAAUGCGUAGAGAUCCGGAAGAACACCGGUGGCGAAGGCGGCCUGCUGGGCAGUGGCUGACACUGAGGCGCGACAGCGUGGGGAGCAAACAGG
rnacentral:rRNA from 1 species